rnacentral:lncRNA from 1 species
GUCAAAACGAACAACGAGGCCAACCUCCCGACGAACUCCUCAACUGCAGGCACGUAUUUUUUUCCUUUUUUUUCCCCCUUUUUUUUUCACACUUUACAAAGUUGGAACUUUGAUCUUAUCUAUUGAGUAAACUGCAGGUAUAGAUGAAGUAAUGCCAAUUCAUGCCCCAGUGGCAACUAUGAUUAAUCUGUGUUAUGAACCUUUAUAGUGCUUUUAGAUGGAGCAGAGCUAUUGCCCUUUGCUACAUAUGUCUGACUGAGAUUGAAUUAUGGGUUGAGCUGAGUUUCAGGUUAAUGUCCCAAUGCCUUAAUCAAUUAGAUUACCACAACAACUGGCAGAUUUUCAUUUCAGGAAGCUUAUAUUUCAAAGUUUUCAUGCUUUUUAAAGAUUGUCUUUGUUUGCAUUUAUCCUUCCCUCUAAUUAGGAUUACUGCCGUUUGAAUUCCCAGUCUGUAAAUAGGGUAGAAUCCCAAAUGCUAGCAAUAGCUUUUGAUUCAUAUGUAAAACAGUUUGAAAAGAUCUGAUCAAAUUAUAGGAAGUGAAGAUUUUAUAUUUACAUAUUGAUAAAAUUUGAAAAUUUAUUGAAAAUUAAAAAUUAACCUUGAAAAAAAGUUAAAUAGAAACUACAAAACCCCAUAACAUAAAGCAUCGAUGUUAGAUUGACUGGCAUAUGUCAAUAUAAUUUUGAUAUCUUAUGCUAUGGGUAAAAAAGAUAGUAAAAAGAAGACUUGAAGAUAAAUAAGAUGUUUUAAGGUUUUAAUUUAUAUAGUGUGUUAUUCUUAUUUUAAUAUUUUUAAUCAUAAAUAAAAUUUUAAAGUUAAUUAUUAAAAAUCUUAACCUGAUAGUAAAAAAUGUAAUUUUAAACAAAUUAUUUCAUCUAUUGGCCAAAAGAAAACAAUUUUUUUUUUUUAAUUAUUUACAGUUGUUGAAAUAUUCUCAAAAUUUAUA